UGAACAAGGGAAACAACUGAGAAUACAAAUCUCUUCUGUUUGUGUUGGUGCUUGGUAAAAUAUGCACCCUUUCUGGGUGGCAUAAGCCAUUCAGUUACCUUCUCUAAAAGGAGUCUUUUAAUGCUAAAAUUAAUGUAAUUACAUGAGUGUGAGAGGCGCAUUCAAGGCUUAGAGAAAAUGUUAGAAUAGCUGAAUAUAUCUGCUCAAUCCUCUCUCUAAUGUGGCUGAACAAUGCCCGGGGAGGCUAUUGCCUUCUUUCUUCUAGAAAAAGCCUGUCUCCAGAGGGAAGGGCUAUCUGCAGUUCUUGAUAGCUUUAUGCUUCACCUUCUCAGCUACACAAAAAGACAGGAAAAGCCAUGAGAUGCCCAAAGCACUGACAGAUGUGUAAUUUAAUGCAACAAUGCUUUUUUCUUCUUUGAGUACCUAUAAGCUGGACAAAAUGCACAGAUCUGGGAAACAGACUUGAAUAACUGAAAUUUAACAGAGUCACAGUCUUGUGGGGACAUAUAAAUAUGUAUCUUAAAGAAUGUAUAUUGCAAGUGAACUGUAUACUUUGGGUCAUUAACAGCAAUAGCUAAGCCUCAGGAUGGUGCUUAUCAUUUACCAAGAGUGGAACCCAAUGCUUUAUUUCAGUAUUCUCAUUUAGUCCUCAGCCACGGUUGCCAGUAACUUUUGUCAUCCCAUUUUAGAUGACGAUACUGAAACAAAGUCGCUUUCUAGUGUCAUAGCUAGUAAGAGGUAGGCCAAUAGUGGUAUAGUGGUAGGCCAGUAGAAUCUGUGACAUCACAAUCUGAACUUGCCCAUUGUGCAUUCCAAGGUAAGAAAGAAUUCCUAGAGGACAUGACCAUAGGUAGGUUCCAGGGUAGAGUGGGAAGUGCACUGCAUCCUCAGAAGAAAGUAUCCCAGAAAGGACCAGCCAGGACAAGUGCAUUGUCAGAGAAGCACGUGUGUGGGGAGCAAUGUGGGAUAGCUUGAGAUCGCCAUCAUCUGGGACUAGGGAGUGAUGCUUAAGAGGCACUGUCAACUUACUGGAUUUAGAAUCACCAUGGAAAAAUAAUUCUACAUGUGUUCAUGAAGGUUUUUACAGAAGGCAUUAGCUGAAGAGGCAAGACACAUUUCGAAUUAUUCUGUAUGUAUCCUACCAGCUUGAAAGCAUCCUUCAGUAGCCAGAAGAGCCUGUGUAAAGGGCAAGAGUUUUCCAUUUCCAAUUUGGGAGGAAGGCUGAGAAAUAGGUGGUGAGUGCCAUGGCUUUUCACAGACAUGAGAAGAAAAACCCUUGAAAUGGCUAAAGCAGCAGGCCAUGGGAUGCGCAGGGUAGAGAUUCCAAGCUGGAACAGGAAGAGGAGGCAAAGAACUGGAAGAAGAUAAAGUCAAAGGCCAGAGGAUGCUUUCCAUCCCCACCCCUGGAUGCAGGAGGAAGUAAGAAAUGGUUCGGCCCGCACCAUUUAAACCCCUACCAUCAUUGCCAUCACAGCGUUUACCACCUAUGUUCAGAGUAAAGUGUUUUCUUGGAGCCUUGUUGUACAUUUAAGAAUAAAAAAAAGCAUAAGACAUAAAAUAAAUUAGUGCAAGAAGGGAGUGAAUCAAUGACUCAGGAACACUAAUAAUGCUAGGCUACCACCAUUUAAUUGACACAGUUACUGUUUAUUUUUCAUGAACACAAUAUUUUUUCAAUUAUGAAUAAAUAAUUUAUUAAUA